UGGUGGGUAGUUUGACUGGGGCGGUCUCCUCCUAAAGAGUAACGGAGGAGCACGAAGGUUGGCUAAUCCUGGUCGGACAUCAGGAGGUUAGUGCAAUGGCAUAAGCCAGCUUGACUGCGAGCGUGACGGCGCGAGCAGGUGCGAAAGCAGGUCAUAGUGAUCCGGUGGUUCUGAAUGGAAGGGCCAUCGCUCAACGGAUAAAAGGUACUCCGGGGAUAACAGGCUGAUACCGCCCAAGAGUUCAUAUCGACGGCGGUGUUUGGCACCUCGAUGUCGGCUCAUCACAUCCUGGGGCUGAAGUAGGUCCCAAGGGUAUGGCUGUUCGCCAUUUAAAGUGGUACGCGAGCUGGGUUUAGAACGUCGUGAGACAGUUCGGUCCCUAUCUGCCGUGGGCGCUGGAGAAUUGAGGGGGGCUGCUCCUAGUACGAGAGGACCGGAGUGGACGCAUCACUGGUGUUCGGGUUGUCAUGCCAAUGGCACUGCCCGGUAGCUAAAUGCGGAAGAGAUAAGUGCUGAAAGCAUCUAAGCACGAAACUUGCCCCGAGAUGAGUUCUCCCUGACUCCUUGAGAGUCCUGAAGGAACGUUGAAGACGAC
rnacentral:rRNA from 1 species